rnacentral:rRNA from 1 species
UACGUAGGGUGCAAGCGUUGUCCGGACUUAUUGGGCGUAAAGAGCUCGUAGGCGGUGUGUCGCGUCGGCCGUGAAAACCUGCAGCUUAACUGUGGGCUUGCGGUCGAUACGGGCAUCACUGGAGUUCGGCAGGGGAGACUGGAAUUCCUGGUGUAGCGGUGAAAUGCGCAGAUAUCAGGAGGAACACCGGUGGCGAAGGCGGGUCUCUGGGCCGAUACUGACGCUGAGGAGCGAAAGCGUGGGGAGCGAACAGG